CAGCCAAAGCCACAGUGCUUCAAUCCGCUGUUUGCUUGGCUCUGUCUUUCCUUGGCGCUUGGGAGAUGCUACUGCUAAUGCUGUUUGGCGUGAACUGGCUGCAUCGCCUCUUAGAAACCACUUUCCCUUUGCUGUUUCAGCUUCGCUUCCCUGGAUGCACCUUUUUUUGGACAGCCUUCCUCUGGUGUCAGCUGCAAGACAUUCUUAGCCUCUGGGUGGAGUGACUCACCAAGACCCCACAACUAGACCAGCAAGCUGGGCUGGAUUCUGGCUCUAGGGAUUCCACUUGCAGUUCAGGGGAAGCUGCUUCUCUAAAGACCAGGGUGUCACCAUGUUGGAGUGCCUGUGGAACUCAGAGUGGGAAAGGAGAAACUAGAGGGCUUAUACCAGAAGGAAACCCAAUUCCAGGUAUGGAAUGCUGGUGAGGGUGUCAAUUAACACAACCACAUAGGAAAACUAAUGAGUUUCCAAACCCAAAGUGGAGUCUGCAACCAGGCAAUUUCAUUCUCAGUGACAGUCCCAACAGAACUUGAGGCAACCAGACUCUGAGGUGAUACCAAGGAUCUCUACCUCCUCGGAUUCAUGCUCUUGUGUAAUUCCCUCACCUUGAGAGUGGAUGGGACCCAUGACCUGCUUGUCACCAGUGAAAUACAGCAAUUGUGAUGGGAUAUGGCUUCCAUGAUUAUGC